AUGUGCAGCCUGAAGACACUGCUGUGUAUUACUGUGCCAGAGAGCGACAGUGUGAACAGUAUUGAUCUCAUCCGGACAGACUCAAUGGUUGUGCAGCCUGGACAGUCUCUGACCAUCAGCUGUCAGGUCUCUGGAGUUUGGAGUGAGAUCAAACUGGACCAGUCUCCCUCUGAGGUGAAAAGACCUGGAGAGACAGUGAAGAUGUCAUGUAUCAUAUCUGGUUAUAGCAUGACAAGCAAGAAUAUUCACUGGAUACGACAGAGACCAGGAGAAGCUCUGGAGUGGAUAGCGUGGAUGAACACAGGUUCAAACUCUGCUAUCUAUGGCAGCUCCUUUCAAAGCCGUUUCAUCAUGACUGAAGAUGUUCCCAGCAGCACUCAGUACCUCGAGGUCCAGAGCCUGACAGCAGCAGAUUCUGCUGUUUACUUCUGUGCUUUCGAAGAGACACAGUGA